rnacentral:rRNA from 1 species
GAUGAACGUUGGCGGUGUGCCUAAUACAUGCAAGUCGAACGGAGUCAGUAGCAAUAUUGGCUCAGUGGCGAACGGGUGAGUAACGCGUUGGUGAUCUGCCUUGAAGUGUGGAAUAACGUUUCGAAAGAGACGCUAAUACCGCAUGUGCUCUCGAUCUUCAGAAAGUUGAGAGUAAAGGAUUUAUUCGCUUCAAGAGGAGCCUGCGUCCCAUCAGCUGGUUGGUAGGGUAACGGCCUACCAAGGCUAUGACGGGUAGGGGACCUGAGAGGGUCGGCCCCCCACAAUGGAACUGAAACACGGUCCAUACACCUACGGGUGGCAGCAGUAGGGAAUAUUAGAAAUGGACGAAAGUCUGAUCUAGCAACACCGCGUGUGCGAAGAAGGCCUUCGGGUCGUAAAGCACUUUUUGGAAGGAAUAGGAAGGAAUGUACUUCCAGAAUAAGUCUCGGCUAACUACGUGCCAGCAGCCGCGGAAACAUACUCGUA